rnacentral:rRNA from 1 species
GAUCAAGCUACCAAGGGCGUCUGGUGGAUGCCUUGGGGCGAAGCGCCGAUGAAGGACGCGAACAGCGGCGAUACUCCUCGGGGAGCGGCAACAGCGCGACGAUCCGAGGGUUUCCGAAUGGGGCAACCCGUCCGCCGUAACGGGCGGACACCGAGAGCCGAACACAUAGGCUUUCAGGAGGGCACCCGGGGAACUGAAACAUCUUAGUACCCGGAGGAGAGGAAAGCAUAAGCGAUUCCCCUAGUAGCGGCGAGCGAACGGGGACCAGCCCAAACCGCGAGGGUUCGCCCUUGCGGGGUUGCGGGAUCGAGAGAGGGAGAUGUCGACGAUGCGCGGAAGCGGUCUGGAACGGCCCGCCGCGGAGGGUGAGAGCCCCGUACGUGCGUUGUCGUCGUUUUCCAUCGACACCCAAGUACCGCGGGACACGUGAAAUCCUGCGGGAAUCCGGGAGGACCACCUCCCAAGGCUAAAUACGCUUCGCCACCGAUAGUGAACCAGUACCGUGAGGGAAAGGCGAAAAGAACCCCGGAAGGGGAGUGAAACAGAACCUGAAACCAGAGCGCCUACAAGCAGUCGGAGCGUCCUUCGGGGCGUGACGGCGUGCCUUUUGCAGAAUGAACCGGCGAGUUGUCGUCAGUCGUGGAUUAACCCGUUGAGCGGGGGAGGCAGAGCGAAAGCGAGUGCGAAAAGCGCGUGCAAUGGCUGGCGGCGGACCCGAAACCGCGUGAUCUACCCAUGGUCAGGGGGAAGCUUGGGUAACUCCCAGGUGGACGCCCGAACCAGUGUCGGUUGAAGACGGCUUGGAUGAACUGUGGGUAGGGGUGAAAUGCCAAUCGAACGCGGAGAUAGCUGGUUCUCCCCGAAAUGCAUUGAGGUGCAGCGUCGAUUGUUUUGUCGCGCCGGUAGGGCGCUGGAUGGUCUAGGGGCCUUGCCAGGUUACCGAAAUCAACCGAACCGCGAAUGGCGUGACACGAAGAUCGGCAGUGAGACGGCCGGGGAUAAGCUUGGUCGUCGAAAGGGAAACAGCCCGGACCCUCUGCUAAGGUCCCAAAGCGCAGGCUUAGUGUGAAAGGAUGUGGGAAUGCCCAGACAACCAGGAUGUUGGCUCAGAAGCAGCCACCAUUGAAAGAGUGCGUAACAGCUUACUGGUCGAUGUGUUCCCGCGCCGAUAAUGUAGGGGGGCUGAAGCCUGCCACCGAAGCAAGGGAUGCGUUCCUUCGGGAUCGCAUGGUAGGGGAGUGUUCCGUGCGCGGCGAAGCCGCGGGCGCAAGCCCGGGUGGAGCGCAUGGAAGCAAGGAUGCCGGUAUAAGUAGCGAGAAGACGGGUGAGAAUCCCGUCCGCCGAAAGUCCAAGGUUUCUUAAGGAAGGUUCGUCCUCUUGAGUUUAGCCGGUCCUAAGACGAGGCCGAAGGGCGUAGUCGAUGGCAGUCCGGUGGAUAUUCCGGAGCCGGGUGUGUCUUAUCACGCGAGGACGCGAAUCGAUGGCUGGUCACGGGAAUGGUGGUCCGUGUCGGGUGGGGAGACUUCGGUUGCCCCUCCCGCGAGUGGAACCUUCGGGGGAAGCGAAGCCGGCUUGAGUUUCGCCGCGAAAAGUCGCGUGCGCUGUCACAUUCGACCGUACCGCAAACCGACACAGGUGGAUAGGUAGAGGAUACCAAGGCGUUCGAGAUAACUCUCGUUAAGGAACUAGGCAAUUUAACCCCGUAACUUAGGGAGAAGGGGUGCCUUCGCGGGUGAGGGGCUGCAACGCCUCUUGCGUGCGGAGGUCGCAGUGAAACGGCUUGAGCGACUGUUUACCAAAAACACAGGUCUCUGCGAAGUCGAAAGACGAAGUAUAGGGGCUGACACCUGCCCAAUGCCAGAAGGUUAACAGGAGAGGUGAACCCGCAAGGGGGCGGCCUUGAAUCGAAGCCCUGGUGAAUGGCGGCCGUAACUAUAACGGUCCUAAGGUAGCGAAAUUCCUUGUCGGGUAAGUUCCGACCCGCACGAAUGGUGUAACGACUUAAGCGCUGUCUCAACGAGAGACUCGGUGAAAUUGUAGCAUGCGUGAAGAUGCGCAUUACCCUCCGCAGGACGGAAAGACCCCGUGGAGCUUUACUACACCUUGUCAUUGUGUUUUGGUUAGGCUUGCAGAGCGUAGGUGGGAGACUUCGGUCGCCAAUGGAACACCACCCUGGCCUAUCCGGGAUUCUAACCCGGACCGUGAUCCGGUUGCGGGGACAGUGGCAGGCGGGUAGUUUGACUGGGGCGGUCGCCUCCCAAAAGGUAACGGAGGCGUCCCAAGGUGCCCUCGGGCUGGUUGGAAAUCAGCCGAUGCGUACAAGGGCGUAAGGGUGCUUGACUGUGCGAACGACGGUUCCAGCAGGGACGAAAGUCGGGCCUAGUGAUCCUCUGGCGGCAAGUGGGUGCGCCAGGGCUCAUCGGAUAAAAGCUACCCCGGGGAUAACAGGCUUAUCUUGCCCAAGCGCUCACAGCGACGGCAAGGUUUGGCACCUCGAUGUCGGCUCGUCGCAUCCUGGGGCUGGAUUAGGUCCCAAGGG